GACGAACGCUGGCGGCAGGCUUAACACAUGCAAGUCGAACGCAUCCUUCGGGGUGAGUGGCAGACGGGUGAGUAACGCGUGGGAACGUGCCCUUCAGUUCGGGAUAACCCAGGGAAACUUGGGCCAAUACCGGAUACGUGCGAGAGCAGGAAGAUUUAUCGCUGAAGGAUCGGCCCGCGUCUGAUUAGCUAGUUGGUGGGGUAAUGGCCCACCAAGGCGACGAUCAGUAGCUGGUCUGAGAGGAUGAUCAGCCACAUUGGGACUGAGACACGGCCCAAACUCCUACGGGAGGCAGCAGUGGGGAAUAUUGGACAAUGGGCGCAAGCCUGAUCCAGCCAUGCCGCGUGAGUGAUGAAGGCCUUAGGGUUGUAAAGCUCUUUCGUCCGGGACGAUAAUGACGGUACCGGAAGAAGAAGCCCCGGCUAACUUCGUGCCAGCCGCCGCGGUAACAC
rnacentral:rRNA from 1 species